ACCAGAUGGGAUUAGCUAGUAGGUGGGGUAACGGCUCACCUAGGCGACGAUCCCUAGCUGGUCUGAGAGGAUGACCAGCCACACUGGAACUGAGACACGGUCCAGACUCCUACGGGAGGCAGCAGUGGGGAAUAUUGCACAAUGGGCGCAAGCCUGAUGCAGCCAUGCCGCGUGUAUGAAGAAGGCCUUCGGGUUGUAAAGUACUUUCAGUGGGGAGGAAGGCGAAGAAGUUAAUAACUUUUUCGAUUGACGUUACCCGCAGAAGAAGCACCGGCUAACUCCGUGCCAGCAGCCGCGGUAAUACCCGAGGCGUGCAAGCGUUAAUCGGAAUUACUGGGCGUAAAGCGCACGCAGGCGGUCUGUCAAGUCGGAUGUGAAAUCCCCGGGGCUCAACCUGGGAACUGCAUUCGAAACUGGCAGGGCUAGAGUCUUGUAGAGGGGGGGUAGAAUUCCAGGUGUAGCGGUGAAAUGCGUAGAGAUCUGGAGGAAUACCCGGUUGGCGAAGGCUGGCCUCCUG
rnacentral:rRNA from 1 species